rnacentral:rRNA from 1 species
UGUGAAGGUAAAAAUCGUAACAAGGUCUCCGUUGGUGAACCAGCGGAGGGAUCAUUACCGAGUUGCAAGACUCCCCAACCAUCGUGAACUGCUACCUUGUCGUUGCUUCGGCGGGCGGCCCCCUGGGAGGGGGCCGAUGCCCCGCCCGGCGCCCGCCGGAGCAGCCAGCCUACAUACCAAACCAUGGCCUGUCCUGUCUCUCUGAUUGCCCUUACAGAACGAAUCAAAACUUUCAACAACGGAUCUCUUGGUUCUGGCAUCGAUGAAGAACGCAGCGAAAUGCGAUACGUAAUGUGAAUUGCAGAAUUCAGCGAAUCAUCGAAUCUUUGAACGCACAUUGCGCCCGCCAGUACCCUGGCGGGCAUGCCUGUCCGAGCGUCACUUCCACCGUCGAGGCCCCCCCAGGGGGGCCCGUGUUGGGGGUCCUGCGGCCCUGCCGCCAGGCCCCCGAAACGCAGUGGCGGGGCUCGCUGUCACCCCGAGCGCAGUAGGUUCUUCCACGGCUCGCUUAGGGCGUGCGGCGGGCACCCGGCCGUCAAAACCCCUCCCCAACAGAAAGGUUGACCUCGGAUCACGUGGAAUCCCAUUCC